rnacentral:rRNA from 1 species
GACGAACGCUGACGGCGUGCUUAACACAUGCAAGUCGAAGGGAGUGGCGAACGGGUGAGUAACACGUGAAUAACCUGCCCUUUUCUUUGGGAUAAGCCUGGGAAACUGGGUCUAAUACUGGAUGGAUUGGGAUGGGCUCGCGGCUUAUCAGCUCGUUGGUGGGGUGAUGGCUGACCAAGGCUUUGACGGGUAGCCGGCCUGAGAGGGGAGUCUGUAACACAGAGACGGCGAUACGGCCUAGACUCCGUCGGGGGGGAGCAGGUGGGGCUAUUGCAGAAGGGAUGAAAGUCUGAUGCAGCGUCGUUGAGGGGGGGAUGAGGGUCUUCGAGUUGUUAUCUCCUUUCGCCCGCGGAAUGGUAGUGGGUAAAGAAGCGCCGGCUAACUACGUGCCAGCAGCCGCGGUAAUAC